AGGUGUAAGGUGAUAUCUCAUUGUAGUUUUGAUUUCUAUUUCCCUGAUGGUGAGUGACGUUGAACAUCUUUUCAUAUAUCUGUUGGUCAUCUGUAUGUCUUCUUUGAAGAAAUGUCUCUUCAUGUCUUCUGUCCAUGUUUUAACUGAAUACUUAUUUUUUGGUGUUGAGUUAUAUAUGUUCUUUAUAUAUUUUGGAUACUAAUCCUUUAUCAGAUACAUCAUUUGCAAAUAUCUUUUCCCAUUCUGUAGGUUGUCUUUUAGUUUUGUUUAUCUUUCCCUUCACUACACAGAAGCUUUUUAUUUUGGUAUAGUCCCAAUAGUUCAAUUUUGCUUUCAUUUCCCUUGCCUUAGUAGAUAAUAUCUAAAAUAUGUUAGUACAGAUGAUCUCAGAGAAAUUACUGCCUGUGUUCUUUUCUAGGAUUUUUAUGAUUUCCAGUCUCAUAUUUAGGUUCUUAAUUCAGUUUGAGUUUAUUUCUGUGUAUAGUAUAAAAAAGUGGUCCAGUUUUAUUCUUUGGCAUGUAGCUAUCCAGUUUUCCCAACACCCUUUGUUGACAAGACUGUCUUUUCCUACAUAUUCUUUCCUCUGCUGUCAACAACUGAUUGACCAUAGAAUUGUAGAUCAGGUUACAUAUUUUUGGAGGAAUACCACAGAAGUGAUGUUAUGCUCUUCUCAGUGCAUACCAUCAGGAUGCAUGAUGUCUAUUUGUUCCAUAAUGUUAACUUUGACAACUUAAGUUGGAACCUCAACUGUAAAGUUGUUCCUUCUUUUUCCUUUAGUGAUUAAUAAGCUAUUUUGUGGGAAGGUAUCUUGACACUAUAAAAAUAUCCUCAUUUGUCAACUCUUUAUGCUUUAGUUUUUAGAAUCCAUUGAUGAUUCCUGCCUGAAACAUUUCCUGGCUAUUUUCACAUAUUUGUAUUUUUAUAUGAAUUCUUUAUCAAGUUGUCUAGGUCUGUAAAAUAGCAUGUUGGCAUUUUUUUGAGAUUAUGUUAAAAUUACAAAUUAAGGAGAACUGCCUUUUCAUUUUUUCAAAUCUAAUUGUGUAUCUUUCUGAAGUGUUUUAGUUUUCUUCAAAUAGUUUUUGUAUACUUCUUGAUAUAUUUAUUCCCAAGUAUUUUAUCUUCUUUGUUGGUAUUUAAUUGGGGUUUCCCCUAUCAAUAUAUCCUCUAACUGGUAAAUGUUUGUCUAUGUAAAGGAUUUUAGGUUCUAUUGAAAUAUAUUGAGUGCUAUUUUUAUAGCUUGUUGGCUACUGAAUUAUUUUCUUGUUUGAGUUAGUUUUAUAAUAUAUAAUGAUUCUCUAGGUCAGGAGUCCACAAUCUUUUUUUAUAAAAUGUUAGAACAUUCUCAGCUUUGUUGGGCCAAACCACUUUUACCACAACUAUCCAAUUGUGAUAGUAGAAGGAAAAUGCACAAACAAAAUGAUUUGACCAGAUUUGGCUACUGGGCUAUUUUACUGAACCUUGCUCUAGGUUUUUUCCAGAUUUACUAUCUUAUCUACAAAAAAAAUGUUUUCUUAUUUUCUAAUUGUUAUACCUCUACUCUUUAACUUUUUUUAAUUGCAUUGCCUAAUAUCUCCAGUAAAAUGUUGAAUAGUAGUAGGGUUACUGGAUAGCCUUCCCUUGUCCUAAUGAUAGUAGUGAAAAUACCUUUAGUGUUUCCCAUUAAGAUGAUGUUAAGGAAAAUAUUCAUCAAUUCCUAUUUGUUGAGUGUUUUUACUAGGUAUUGAUUUUGGAAGGUCAUUUCACCAUCUAUACAUGAUUUGUCUCCUUAUAUCUAAUACAGUAAUAUUAUAUUAAUGGGUUUCCUAAUACUUAACCAAUUUCCUGUUCCUAGAAAAAAAUUCCACAUGGUCAUGGUGUAUUUUCUUAAUGUGGUAUUGGAAUUUGGUAAUAUUUUAUCUAGUACUUUGUAUCAGUAUUUAUAAUUGAUUUUAAGCUAUAAUUUCUUUUUGUGUUUUCUUUAAGAAUUGUUAUGGGGAUCCCUGAGUGGCCCAGCAGUUUAGCACCUGCCUUUGGCCCAGGGCAUGAUCCUGGAGUCCUGGGAUCGAGUUCCACGUUGGGCUCCCUGCAUGGAGCCUGCUUCUCCCUGUGCCUGUGUCUCUGCCUCUCUCUAUCAUGAAUAAAUAAAUAAAAUCUUUUUAAAAAAUUGUUAUUAUUCACAUUCAAUAAUCUGGAGCAAUUUAUAGAGCAAACUACCUGGUGUUGGGACACCUGAGUGGCUCAGGGCGUGAUCCUGGAGUCCCGGGAUUGAGUCCACAUCGGGCUCCCUGCAUGAAGCCUGCUUCUCCCCUCUGCCUAUGUCUUUGCCUCUCUCUGUGUGUCUCUCAUGAAUAAAUAAAUAAAUAAAAUAUUUUAAAAAAAGAAACUAUCUGGUGUUUAGAUGUUUCAUAAAAUAUCCUUGUGGUACCAAAUGGGCCUGAUGCUUUUUUUUAGAAAAUAGGUCUUUGUUAUUCUUUAUGUCUUUGAAAGAAAUUAGACUAUCUCAGGGUGCCUGGGUGACUUUGGUUAAGCAUCCAACUUGUGAUUUUUGGCUAAGGUCAUGAUUUCAGGGUUGUGAGAUCAAGCCUUUUGUUUGGAUCUGUGCUGGGCAUGGAGCCCGCCUAAGAUUCUCUCCCUCUGUCACUCCUUUGUCUCCCUGUCUCCCUCAUACUCUCACCCUCUCCCUCUCUUAAAAAAAAAAAAAAAAAAAAAGACUAUUUCAAAUAAACAGUAUUUACCUUAGAAAUUAUCUUUUUCAUUCAGGUUUUCAACUGUAUUUAAAGAGAGGUUUGAAAGGAGAUUCUUACAAUAUUUUAAUUCAAGCUGUAAUUCCCGUAUCAUAAAAAUUCAGCUUUCUACACUGUUAUGGGCUGAACUGUGUUCUUCACUCCCCCCAAAUUCAUAUGCUGAAUUUGUCUCAUAUCUCAAAUGUAUUUGGAGAGAGGGCCUUUUUAAAAAAGUAAUAAGGUAAAAUGACAUAUGGAUGAGUUCUAAUUCAGUAUUACUAGUCCUUAUCCAAAGAUGUGAUUAGAAUACAGACAACACACAAAUGAAAACAUGACCAUGUAAUGACACGGUGAGAACACAGCCAUCUAUAAGCCAAGGACAAGCCUUAAAAUAAAAUCAAUCCUGCUGACACCUUCAUCUCAAAAUUCUAGCCUCCAGAAGUGUGAGAAAAAAAUUUUGUUGUUUUAAGUCAUUCCUAGUCACUUUGCUAGGAAUGGCAC
rnacentral:lncRNA from 1 species